GCCUCCCCCCUUCCUUAAAAUCCUCACCGGUUACUGAUCGCAGCCUCACUCCGCGACCAACACAGGCCCCCGUAGGGUUCAUUAGAACUCCCGAAUCAGAGCUCAUCCACCUCGGCGAUGGCGAUGGCGGCUCUCAGACGCGAGGGGCGGCGCCUCCUCGUCUCCCCGGCGCUCACCAACCCCGCUCGAUUUGCGAUCCCUUCAGAAGAGUCAAACAUUCUUGGUGUGCGGUCAAUUUCGACUCAAAUUGUCCGUAACCGCAUGAAAAGUGUUAAGAACAUUCAAAAGAUUACAAAGGCAAUGAAGAUGGUUGCAGCAUCAAAGCUACGCGCUGUUCAAGUCAAAACUGAAAACUCACGUGGGCUAGGGCAGCCAUUUACCGCUCUUCUAGGAGAUGCCCCUAGUGUUGAUGUUAAGAAGAACGUUAUUCUGACUAUAAGUUCUGACAAAGGUCUUUGUGGGGGCAUUAAUUCUACUUCUGUAAAGAUGAGCAGAGCUCUUUACAGAUUGACUUCUGCUGGUCCUGAACAUGAAACAAAGUAUGUCAUUUUGGGAGAGAAGGGGAAGGUUCAGUUGGUGCGUGAUUCAAGGAAAAACAUUCUUAUGACCGCUUCUGAGCUGCAGAAGAUUCCUGUAAACUAUACUCAGGUUGCUGUUCUUGCUGAUGACAUCUUGAAGAAUGUCGAGUUUGAUGCUCUGAGGGUUGUUUUUAACAAAUUUCAAUCUGUUGUCUCAUUUCUACCAACAGUAGCAACCAUAUUAUCUCCUGAGGCUGUGGAGAAAGAAUCGGAAUCGGGUGGCAAGCUUGGUGAUUUGGAUUCAUAUGAAAUUGAAGGCGGAGAGACAAAGGCGGAAGUGCUUCAGAAUCUUACUGAGUUUCAAUUUUCUUGUGU
rnacentral:misc_RNA from 1 species